UACAGACAGGGUUUCACCAUGUUGACCAGGCUGGUCUCGAACUCCUGACCCCAAAUGAUCUGCCCGCCUCAGCUUCCCAACGUGCUGGGAUGACAGGCAUGAGCCACUGUGCCUGACCCGCCAGAGAAGGUCUCGAUGAUUAUCACCCUUGAAGAAUCAUCCAGUAACCCAAGGAGAAGAUCAUUUGGCAAGGGCCCCAUAUGACCUUCCAACUGGCAUAGGCACUGAACUGUUUCUUACAUUCUCACAACAGCACCACAAGCAUUCUCCUCCACAAAGGGUAGAAGACAGCAUGGUAAGACCAGAAGAAAGAAGGCUAAGCAGAGCGGGAGGAACUGUGAUGACAAGCCAGAAGAGACCCCUGAAAAUAAGAGAUGGGACAAGUUAGGCGGGGCAGGGGGAGCCGAGAGAGGCUGGGAGGAGUGGGAAGGCAGUGAGCGGGAGGAGUUCAUUUCAGAUGAUGAUCAUUAACUUACAUCACUCAGUGCGCUCAGUUGAUAAGAGGCUUCCUUUCGAGUUCCUUAGCCCUCGCGGGGAUCUCUGAAGGAGGGUGUUAUUACUUCCAUUCAAUGCAGCCACCGCAGGCAUUGGGGCAGCGUGGGUAUGGAGAGUGGAGACAUUGCAGGGCCUCCGGGAAGCUGCAGCGUGCCCGUGUCAGCUCGACCAAGGCAAGACCACCUUUGCCCAGGCCAGCCUGGGGAGGGUUGUGCCAAGAUGCUGGCUAAUGUUUCCUGGGGCCCACAUGAGCAGAGGAGAGGUCUGUGGGCUGCUGGUGAGUUUGGAUGGAGCUGGGAGCUGGAAGCUCCAGGCCUCGGGGAUGCCUCCUGUGCAGUGGCCUCUUGCUGCCAAAGUGGGUGAUCCCCAGGCCUCAUCUUCCUCACCCUAUCAGCAGCUUUUGACAGAUCUGAUUUCUCCCCGCUGCCUUAAGCACGUGGCUUCCAAGACAACACUCUCUCGGUUUCUUCCUUCUUCCCUGGCCAUUGCUUCUCAGGCUCCUUUCUGGAAUCUGUCUCCUCUUCCAAACUGAUAAGUGGUAGAGCACCCCAGGGCUGUCUACACCCACUCUCAGGGCUGUCUACACCACUCCUGGGUCUCUGUCUACACUCAUCCCCGGGGCCCUGUCUACACUCUCUCUGGGUCUCUGUCUACACCUACUCCCGGGUCUCUGUCUGCACUCAUCCCUGGGGCCCUGUCUACACCUACUCCCUGGGUGGGCUCAUCCAGGCUGAAGUUGUAGAUAGGGUCCCCCUAGACACUGACAUCUCCCAAAUGCCGAUCUACAGGCUAGAUCUUUCCCUUAAGCUCCAGACUGGUGCAUCCAGCCCCCUGCUUGGAGAAGGCCCACUGCAUCUCACACCAGGUGGAUUAUUGAAAACUGCUUUGCUUUCAGUCCUCUGCUUCUCGGUACAUGGCACCCAGGUUGCUCCGGUCCAAGCCCCUGAAGUUGUCCUGCCUCCUCUUUCCCUCACGUCCUGCAUCCAGUGCAUCCACAAGUCUGGUCAGUGCUCAUUUAAUCAUCAAUCCUGACUCCCCAGGCACCCUCUUGCCACCCUAAUCUCGCCCUAUCAGCUUGUGCCCCUGUUAUGAAACUGGCCUUAUACUGUCUCCUUGCUUCCCCUCUUACCUGCUGCCCUCUGGUCCAGUGAUCUUUCAAAAGUGGACAUUAGAUCUUGUUACUCUUCUGCUUAACACUCUCGAAUGCUUCCCAGCAUACACGUAAUAGAGUCUUGCCUGGCAGCAAACCCUCUUGUGUGUGACUGACUGCAACCUGCCUCUCCACCUGCAUUUUCUAUGGUUCUGUCUCACUGCAAUCAAGACAUAUUCACCUCCUUGAUCUUCCUUGGCCCAAAGCUGAAAUGCCUCCUCAAUGGCCUCUAAAUGACCUACGUUGGGUCUCCUGCUUGGACCUCUACAUGGGUCAGUUCCAGUCCUUGCCUGCUGUAUUUGUCUUCACAGGACUGAGGUCCACAUUUAAUUAGAUCAUGUGCUUAUUUGCUUCACUAAUUCUUCUGUCUCCCACCUGAUUAUAAGCUGAGCUGUGGGGACUUGUCUUGUUCGGCACCGUUUCCCCAGUGCCUAGCACCAAGCCUGGCACAUAGUUGGUGCAUAAUAAAACUGUGUUGGGUGACUGAAUAAAUGAACAUCCACUGAGGCUGGGUUGAGAGAAUGUAUUUAUAGGAACAUUGCACAGUUAAAUGUUUGUUGAAU